rnacentral:rRNA from 1 species
UACGGAGGGAGCUAGCGUUGUUCGGAAUUACUGGGCGUAAAGCGCGCGUAGGCGGCUUUGUAAGUUAGAGGUGAAAGCCCGGGGCUCAACUCCGGAACUGCCUUUAAAACUGCAUCGCUAGAAUCCGGGAGAGGUGAGUGGAAUUCCGAGUGUAGAGGUGAAAUUCGUAGAUAUUCGGAAGAACACCAGUGGCGAAGGCGGCUCACUGGACCGGUAUUGACGCUGAGGUGCGAAAGCGUGGGGAGCAAACAGG